AGCGAACGCUGGCGGCAGGCUUAACACAUGCAAGUCGAGCGGGCACUUUCGGGUGUCAGCGGCGGACGGGUGAGUAACGCGUGGGAACGUGCCCUCUGGUUCGGAAUAACUCAGGGAAACUUGAGCUAAUACCGGAUACGCCCUUUUGGGGAAAGGCUUGCUGCCGGAGGAUCGGCCCGCGUCUGAUUAGCUAGUUGGUGAGGUAACGGCUCACCAAGGCGACGAUCAGUAGCUGGUCUGAGAGGAUGAUCAGCCACACUGGGACUGAGACACGGCCCCGACUCCUGCGGGAGGAGGCGGGGGGGAUUAUUGGAAAAGGGGCGAAGGCCUGACCCCCCCAUGCGGGGGGAGGGAAGAGGCCCUGAGGGUUGUAAAGCUCUUUUUUCCGGGCCGACAAUGACGGACCCGGAGAAAUAACCCCCGGCAAGCUUCGUG
rnacentral:rRNA from 1 species